UUUUGGCUCUUCUGGUUAAUGAUUUAGUUUUAUUUGAACCCUAAAUAUAAUCCUCAUCCUCUAUUUUUUGGUGACGAUCCUCUGUUUUCUCUUCCAUAAUCCUAUUGCUCCCAGAUAGAGGGGAAUUUCUUAUUGCUUCCAGAGGUUAUCCAACCCCUCAAUGUUGGUGGGUUGGGCAUGCUUAUGCUUGUCCAGGAAAUUCUCCGGAUCCUCUAUUUUUUUGGCGAACGUAUCCAGGGGUGCUGAGUAAAAGGCUUUUCCAAUUGGAGUGCCAAAGUUCUUCCCAAGGCAGGAAUUCCAUACCUAAAAUCCAAAAGAAGGAGAAGAUCAUAAUGGAGUAACAUCCUUGAACAUUGAGGAGGUUUCUUAACUGAAUUGUCAGAUGGCUACAGGGAAGAAAAAAGAUAAAAAUGAUUCUAGCACAGAGGGUGAAAAAGAAGAAGAUAGCAACAAGGUUGUGCCAUUUCACAAAUUAUUUGUCACCACAGAUUCUCUUGAUAUAAUAAUGAUGUGUAUUGGUUCUCUAGGUUCUAUGGGCAUUGCUGUUUGUCUUACAAUUAUGGUUGUCUUAUUUGGGAACCUUAUCGAUGAAUUUGGAAGCAACAUGACAAAUACAAAGAAAGUGGUGCAUGUAGUAUCCAAGAUGAAAUCUUUGAAUCUUUUUAGUUUCCUUUGUUUUGUUUCUUAGUUUAACUCAAAAUCAAACAUAAGGAAAGUUGUUCAUGGUGA